GGCAGGUGUUGUGCCGCUGAGCUAAAUCCCCAGCCCCUCCACAGCAAUUUUAUAAAGCUGGUGUUGUCCCCACUUUUCCAGAUGAGGAAACUGAGACUCAGCCUGCAGCUGUGACUCCAGGAACCCAGCCUCCAGCAGGAGGGGAAUUGCUGAUAAUUGCCACCCUCCACGACUACCGCCACCAAAUGGGACACAGCUGGGCCCCCCUCAGCAUCCAUCCCCCCGUCCUCCCAGCCCAGAACUGGGGUUGGUAAAAGGACCUCGGAUGGGCUUACGGCGUAACCGUAACUUAUGGAUCAGCUGCUUGAACUUCCGCACUGCGGGCACUGGUCUGGAUAACAAGUGUGAAGACAAAGAAAAGGAGGAACAGUUCAGGCUGGCGGGAGCACAGAGCACGAAGCAGCUGCAGUUAUGAGGGUUGCGUGAGACGACGUUGGAUAUGGGCCACAUGACAUUCUCGACGGCUUGUUUAUCUGGUAUAAAGAAAGGAAGGCAUCUGUCUGAGAGCAGGGCAGCUUUUCCUGGCAGAAGAGCUGGAGGGAUCUGUCUCCAGCAAAGAACAUCACAGGCAAAUGGGGAGCAAGCAGAGAGGACCCAGCACCUGUGAAAACCAUCUCCAGGGUCUGCAAACAUCUGGAAGGGAUCUGGACAAAUCGGUGCCCCUCCUUCCCCCAUGCCUUCCCAGCAGGGGUGCAUCCUUCGUGUCUCUGCCUUCCAGGAAACCCACAGCGGGUCAGUACCUUCAGAAGACAGCCGGCCCCAGCGCCUCGGCCCGUGCCAGAGCUCACCUCUAGAGGGCAGCCUUAACCUUUAAACCGUGGCAGCUUCCAUUCAAAGGCCAAACAGGAGGGCGAAGUGACAUCUACCUAAGGGAGCUAUUGGACCUGGCUGCCCUGUAGGUGCAUUCGCUGAGGCACAGGACCCCCUUUCAGGCACAUCGUUAUCUCCACUUUACCCUCAAGGAAACUAAGGCUUGCGGCACAGCUCCUGCUUGGCAAGCGUGAGGUCAUGAGUUCGA